rnacentral:rRNA from 1 species
GAUGAACGCUGCCAGAAUGCUUAACACAUGCAAGUCAACUUGAACUUCGGUUUGGGUGGCGGACGGGUGAGUAACGCGUAAAGAACUUGCCUCACAGAUAGGGACAACAUUUGGAAACGAAUGCUAAUACCUGAUAUUAUGAUUUUAGGGCAUCCUAGGAUUAUGAAAGCUAUAUGCGCUGUGAGAGAGCUUUGCGUCCCAUUAGCUAGUUGGAGAGGUAACGGCUCACCAAGGCGAUGAUGGGUAGCCGGCCUGAGAGGGUGAUCGGCCACAAGGGGACUGAGACACGGCCCCUACUCCUACGGGAGGCAGCAGUGGGGAAUAUUGGACAAUGGACCAAGAGUCUGAUCCAGCAAUUCUGUGUGCACGAUGAAGUUUUUCGGAAUGUAAAGUGCUUUCAGUUGGGAAGAAAAAAAUGACGGUACCAACAGAAGAAGUGACGGCUAAAUACGUG